rnacentral:tRNA from 1 species
AUUUCAAUAGUUUUUAAAACAUUAAAUUGCAAAUUUAAAGUUAUUAUAUUAUAUUAUAUAUUUGAAAUU